UAUGUAGUAUUUAUGUGAGCGCCUUCGGUAGGAAAAAUUUACUAGCAGCUUGGCUGAAGCUAAUACAAGAGAAAAAAACGUUAAAAAGCGUUAAUGUAUUCCUUUCCUCUCCCUUUAUGAUAAAGUCUUAUUUCCUAUUCCGGACUGUGGAUGGGUAAGCGGAGUUGAUGACUAUAGGUGGCAAAUCCUAUUUAUUCAUUUGGAAUCAUGGGUCUAUAACAUGAGUAUGGCCAGAUUACUCAUCCUAGAAUGGAUUCCCCUCAAAUGAAUGCAUAACAUGGAAUUCUUGAUAAUGGAUCUUGUUGCGUUUUCCGUCUUUCACGAGAAUAAGGUAAGUACUAAAUAUGCUUGGAAGUCUUCGCAGGAGAUUAACUAUUAUCAUUUGUUAUAAUUCACUAAGAAAUUUGAAAUAUAUCGAUCAAUUAUA
rnacentral:lncRNA from 1 species